UACGUAGGGGGCAAGCGUUGUCCGGAAUCAUUGGGCGUAAAGAGCGUGUAGGCGGCCUGAUAAGUCGGUUGUGAAAGUCAAGGGCUCAACCCUUGAAUGCCGGCCGAUACUGUCAGGCUAGAGUCCGGAAGAGGCGAGUGGAAUUCCUGGUGUAGCGGUGAAAUGCGCAGAGUAUCGGGAAGAACACCCGUGGCGAAGGCGGUUCUCUGGGACGGUACUGACGCUGAGACGCGAAGCGUGGGAGCGAAC
rnacentral:rRNA from 1 species